AAGUCGUAACAAGGUUUCCGUAGGUGAACCUGCGGAAGGAUCAUUAACACGUAUCCAAACGUAAAAAACCCCCCCCGUGAACAUUCAAUCCUGCUCUUGUAACCCGCGUAGUUCGCAAUCUCUGGCUACGUGAGAACAUUGGAACAGUUACAAUCGAGCGGUAGUUUCAUAGGCAUUGUUUCCCCAAGCAGUCAGUGUCUGAAAGUGUCACUGAUUGUGCAAGGAUAGCGCUUCAACGAUUCCUGUAGACCGUACACUCGGGCAGGAGCUAUGCCAAAGGGUCCCCAUGCCCCCUUAUAACCCCACAGUUUAAUGUGAAGCUCAAUGUAAUACAUUGGGUAAAAAAACCGAACAACUGUUAACAAUGGAUAUCUUGGUUCUC
rnacentral:misc_RNA from 1 species